rnacentral:rRNA from 1 species
GAUGAAGGAGGAGCUUGCUCCUCCGGAUUAGUGGCGAACGGGUGAGUAAUACGUGAGCAAUGUGCCCUUGACUCUGGGAUAAGCGCUGGAAACGGCGUCUAAUACCGGAUACGACCAUCGGAGGCAUCUCCUGGUGGUGGAAAGAACUUCGGUCAAGGAUCAGCUCACGGCCUAUCAGCUUGUUGGUGGGUAAUGGCUCACCAAGGCGACGACGGGUAGCCGGCCUGAGAGGGUGACCGGCCACACUGGGACUGAGACACGGCCCAGACUCCUACGGGAGGCAGCAGUGGGGAAUAUUGCACAAUGGGCGCAAGCCUGAUGCAGCAACGCCGCGUGAGGGACGAAGGCCUUCGGGUUGUAAACCUCUUUUAGCAGGGAAGAAGCGAGAGUGACGGUACCUGCAGAAAAAGCACCGGCUAACUACGUGCCAGCAGCCGCGGUAAUACGUAGGGUGCAAGCGUUGUCCGGAAUUAUUGGGCGUAAAGAGCUCGUAGGCGGUUUGUCACGUCUGCUGUGAAAACCCGAGGCUCAACCUCGGGCUUGCAGUGGGUACGGGCAGACUAGAGUGCGGUAGGGGAGAUUGGAAUUCCUGGUGUAGCGGUGGAAUGCGCAGAUAUCAGGAGGAACACCGAUGGCGAAGGCAGAUCUCUGGGCCGUAACUGACGCUGAGGAGCGAAAGCAUGGGGAGCAAACAGGCUUAGAUACCCUGGUAGUCCAUGCCGUAAACGUUGGGAACUAGAUGUGGGGACCAUUCCACGGUCUCCGUGUCGUAGCUAACGCAUUAAGUUCCCCGCCUGGGGAGUACGG